CUCUUAAGCACUUCUUAAGUUAAUCGUUGAGACUCUGAGUCGUCCAGAGGGUUCUCGCCGCCCUUUCCUAUCUACAAACCUUUCCGUUGUUUUUUUUUGUUUGGUCUUUUAUAUUUUCAACCGAACUAAUAAUAUAGUUUCUUUAUAUUUUUUUUGUUUGGUCUCUUAAGUUGGUUUGAAGCUAGGUUCAGAAGAGUCGGCGUUUAUCUAACGGAUACGGCUUUGGUGGAAGGCUUUCAUGGAGUAAAAGAAAAAGCAAACCCAAGCUAGCGGCGUUUCGAGGGUAGAAGCAAACCGUCGAUGAUCAGCACCUAUCGACGGUGAACCAAGAUUCAAGUCAACACCAAAAGCCAUGUUGACACGUCGCACAGAUUAGAAAUGGCUGGCACGUGUAAUCCUAAGCUGUAUUUUUUGUUAUACAUGUACUUGGGUCUUUUAUUGUACUCUGUUUCAGCCCAUAAGGCUUAUAAAAACUAGUUGACAAAAACAAAGUGUUUUAGAUAAAUUUUCUAGAAUGACCUUAAAAGAUUUUUAUCACAACUAUAGCUUUAAAGAUCAAAAUGACAGAACUUUUUUUAUUAAAUAGAUAAAUAGACAUUUAUACCAGUAGAUUUAACUAAUCUAAACUUAUAUUUUAUAUUUGAAAGGUAGAAUUUUAGUAAAGGUGUAAUUUUAGUAGGGGUGUCCUGCCAGCCCGACACAAACCUAAAAAAAACCCAUUAUUAUUAAGUUCGAUUUUAAACUUGUAUUUCAAAUUAUGGUUCGGCCUUUAAAAGGGUCAUAGUGUUUUCUAGGCUUUUCGAGCUUUUUAAAAAGAUAAAUUAAAAUCGAAUACAUUAAGUUUAAAAAUAAUAUUAAUUUAAUUCCAAAUUUAGAUUAUCAUCUCGAAAAACCAUAAAUUCCGUAUCAGUUUAUGGAUAGAACUAAAAUAAAUAUCUUACCAAAUAAAUCAAAUAAAAAGUAAUAGUGAAUAAAAAUAAAACAAAAUCCUUUCAAAUCUAAGCAGUAGAAAUUGUAAGAUCAAGAUCAGUAUGUUCUUCGGUAACUUCCACAUUCUCAUCAUCAUCAAAAGCUACAAUAAUAAAAAAUAUAUUUAAUUUUGACAUAUA